UACGAAGGGAGCUAGCGUUGUUCGGAAUCACUGGGCGUAAAGGGUGCGUAGGCGGGUCUUUAAGUCAGGGGUGAAAUCCUGGAGCUCAACUCCAGAACUGCCUUUGAUACUGAAGAUCUUGAGUUCGGGAGAGGUGAGUGGAACUGCGAGUGUAGAGGUGAAAUUCGUAGAUAUUCGCAAGAACACCAGUGGCGAAGGCGGACUCACUGGCCCGAGUACUGACGCUGAGGCACGAAAGCGUGGGGAGCAA
rnacentral:rRNA from 1 species